AACGCACGAGACCUGCGGACCUGCGGAGGGAUCAUUAAUGAGAAACUGCCCCUCGCGGGUAGAUCUCCCACCCUUUGUAAACUUACCUUUGUUGCUUUAGCAGGCCCGUCUCCGGACCGCCGGCUUCGGCUGGCCAGUGCCUGCCAGAGGAUUCUAAAACUCUGUCUGUCAGUGUUGUCUGAGUCUAUAUACAAUCGUUAAAACUUUUAACAACGGAUCUCUAGAUCGGAAGAGCACACG
rnacentral:misc_RNA from 1 species